GACCUCUCCGGUGGCCUAGAUAUAGAGCGUCCGCCUCGGAUGCGGAAGGUCGCGGAUUCGAUCCCUGUCCGAGUCA